rnacentral:rRNA from 1 species
UACGGAGGGGGCUAGCGUUGUUCGGAAUUACUGGGCGUAAAGCGCACGUAGGCGGCUUUGUAAGUUAGAGGUGAAAGCCCAGGGCUUAACUCUGGAAUUGCCUUUAAGACUGCAUCGCUAGAAUCGUGGAGAGGUGAGUGGAAUUCCGAGUGUAGAGGUGAAAUUCGUAGAUAUUCGGAAGAACACCAGUGGCGAAGACGACUCACUGGACACGUAUUGACGCUGAGGUGCGAAAGCGUGGGGAGCAAACAGG